rnacentral:rRNA from 1 species
UUAAAAGCAAAUAAGAGCGCAUGGCGGAUGCCUUGGCUCUCAGAGGCGAUGAAGGACGUGAUAAGCUGCGAUAAGCUUCGGUGAGGUGCAAAUAACCUUUUACCCGGAGAUUUCCGAAUGGGGAAACCCAGCUGGUUGAAGACCAGUUACCCGCAAGGGGGCAAACCCGGUGAACUGAAACAUCUAAGUAACCGGAGGAAGAGAAAACAAAUAGUGAUUUCCUUAGUAGUGGCGAACGAACGGGAAAUAGCCCAAACCAGUGUUGUCUUUGGCAAUGCUGGGGUUGUAGGACUGCAACGUGGACUUAUGUUUAAUAGAAGAAUCAACUGGAAAGUUGAACGAUACAGGGUGAUAGUCCCGUAUUCGAAAUUAAAUAUAUACCUAGCAGUAUCCUGAGUAGGGCGGGACAUGUGAAAUCCUGUCUGAAUCUGCCGGAACCAUCCGGUAAGGCUAAAUACU